CAAUAGCGUAUAUUAAAGUUGUUGCAGUUAAAAAGCUCGUAGUUGAAUGUCUGGGCGUCCGGGUCCCCAGUCUUUAGGCGGGGAUACCGGCGUUCAUCCGCUUGCAAGCAUACGUUCGCCCUUAAUCAGGCGGCUAUGUGAGUAAGCAUUUUACCUUGAGAAAAACAGAGUGUUCCAGGCAGGUUUGUCCGGGAUGCAUUAGCAUGGAAUAAUAGAACAUGACUGAAGUCAAGUUAUUGGUUGUAGACUUUAGUAAUGAUUAAUAGGAACAGUCGGGGGCAUUCGUACUCAGCAGUCAGAGGUGAAAUUCUAAGAUUUGCUGAAGACGAACUAAUGCGAAAGCAUUUGCCAAGGAUGUUUUCAUUAAUCAAGAACGAAAGUUAGGGGAUCAAAGACGAUCAGAUACCGU
rnacentral:rRNA from 1 species